CAUAGCUGUUCGGUAUCUACAUUUAUUUACAGAGAUCGUCGACUUCUUUACACGGGAUGGAUGGAAGGUGACGGAGGAGAGAGAGAGAAAAAAAAAAAAACGAAACGAAGGUUGCCUGUCUUGGACAUUAGUAUUAUUAGCAGCUCUGCUACAUACAGUAGAUAUUCGUUCUACAAUGGUUUAGGAAAUAAAUGCUGGGGUACAAAGAGAAGGGUAAAGGAUCUGUGGCACAUCGCAUCGCACUAGAGGGAGGACACGAGUUUACAAAUGGAUCUACAUGAGUCUCAACUACAAACCGUCACCCAGUACAAGACUCCCAGGACCGAUGGAGAUGAUUAUUAACUUACAUUAUAGUACGAUACAUAGUGUGUGCGUUCAGGGACGUGGAGGUCGUUUGCCGGAUUAGUAAGUAUUUAAAGAAUAAAAAGAAAAACCUUUACAGUGCCAGGAUACUUAAAACCACUUUUACACGUUAAAAAAAAAAACAAAUACACAAGUCAUUCUCGCCAUUUAUUGCAAAAUUAAAGCUGCUCAUUUGGAUAUUUUGCAUGAGAUUUGGACUGAAUAAUAA